rnacentral:lncRNA from 1 species
GGUACAAUGGUAGACUCCCACCAAUUGAUAAUGACUCAUAGUUAGUCAGGGUUACCAAGUUGGUUCGUUGACAUUAGUCACAACUUGGUCUCAUCCCAAAGAUUCAUGUCCUACGAUCAUUGCCCAAGUAUCAACCGUGGUCAUCCAACAACUUUAAGGAUUGACUACUCAACAAUUCUCCUUACUCAGAGUGUCCUUUCUUUGUCACGGUGGGGUUUUGCUACUUUUAGUGUCAAACGAUAACGAACUGGCACAUGAGCUUGAGACAUCUCUUCAAGCUCCAUAAUCAUAUCAUUUUAAGGACCUAUGUCCUCUUCACCACUUUAGGUGAGCAUUGUCAUUUGACCUUUGUUUUCAUGAUCUCCAACAUAUUUAUAGCUAGAAUUCCCCAUGUGACUUUCUUCAUCUCAUACUUUUCGUGUCUCGUCACGUACUCGUCAUUGUACUAAAAUUACUAUAACGGAGUUUUAG